UGGGGAAUAUUGGACAAUGGGCGCAAGCCUGAUCCAGCAAUGCCGCGUGUGUGAAGAAGGCCUUCGGGUUGUAAAGCACUUUUAUCAGGAGCGAAACGCUGUCGGCUAAUACCCGGCGGAACUGACGGUACCUGAGGAAUAAGCACCGGCUAACUUCGUGCCAGCAGCCGCGGUAAUACGAAGGGUGCAAGCGUUAAUCGGAAUUACUGGGCGUAAAGCGUGCGUAGGCGGUUUCUUAAGUCUGCUGUGAAAUCCCCGGGCUCAACCUGGGAAUGGCAGUGGAUACUGGGAGGCUAGAGUGUGUCAGAGGUGGUGGAAUUCCCGGUGUAGCGGUGAAAUGCGUAGAGAUCGGGAGGAACAUCAGUGGCGAAGGCGGCCACCUGGGACAACACUGACGCUGAGGCACGAAAGCGUGGGGAGCAAACAGGAUUAGAUACCCUGGUAGUCCACGCCCUAAACGAUGCGAACUGGAUGUUGGUCUCAACUCGGAGAUCAGUGUCGAAGCUAACGCGUUAAGUUCGCCGCCUGGGGAGUACGGUCGCAAGACU
rnacentral:rRNA from 1 species